CCGAGUAUAGAGAUUGUAAAAAAAUGCUCUAUACCCCAAACUCUUAGUCAUGUAGUUGGCUUUGGUGGUGGAGUAAAGACGAAGGGCUUGAAAAGUAGGACUUCCUCAAAGACUGAAGAACUUUGCUCAACUCAAGACUCAAGAGGAAAAUAACUGUUUGCAAGAUUGCUUGUCAAGCAUAGAAAAUGAGAUGAAUCAAUUAAGAAAAUUGGUAUUAGCUCAGCAUCCAAAUGUCCAACCUUCGACAUCACCUAUUUCCGGAGAAGAAUGUAUUACCAAGUUAGUAAUAGCUUACCCAAAACUUUAAUUUUUUUUAUUGCUUUUAGUUUUUGCGCUCUUAUGUAACAAUUAAUACUAUUCUAUUGUGCUCAAAUGCCAGUUCAUUUCAAUCAAUAUGAAAUGAUUAUUCGAUUCCUCAAUAUUUUUGCAUAAAAGAUACCCACAUCAUAUACUGAAUAUGGUAAGAAUGUGAUAUACUAGUUUAUAGAUAAGGAACGAGGCACCGCGUUACAGAUUCUAAAAGCUAAACUAGGAAGAGUACAUUUUAAAAAGUUUCUUCCAUUCUCUCCUUUCUGCUAUGUUGGUCCCUGUUAGUACGCCUCAUUACAAAUUUAUCUUUGCAAUAAGUGAUUAUAUUUCGGAAUUAAGUGGUGAUUAUAUUACUGUUUGAGUGAAGUUACAAAAAAUAAUUUAACCAAUUGUCCAAUUUAUUUUUCUAUAUUUUUUUCUAAUGAAAAUCUCUUGAUACUUUUUACAGGUGGAUACGGGAGUUUAAAAAGCAAGCUUGUGAGGACCUACAGCUGUUUGACUAUCAUUUUGCUAAUGUUGGACAAAAUUUAUAUUAUAG
rnacentral:lncRNA from 1 species